rfam:Asian citrus Psyllid, Diaphorina citri - Florida Strain, whole genome shotgun sequence.
UGCCUCGUGAUGUAGUGGUCAAGACACUCGUCUGGUAAACAGGAGGGCGUGGGUUCAAUCCCAGCCGAGGUAU